UACGUAGGGUGCGAGCGUUAAUCGGAAUUACUGGGCGUAAAGCGUGCGCAGGCGGUUCGCCAAGUCAGGUGUGAAAUCCCCGGGCUUAACCUGGGAAUUGCGCUUGAAACUAGCGGGCUUGAGUGUGGCAGAGGGGGGUGGAAUUCCACGUGUAGCAGUGAAAUGCGUAGAUAUGUGGAGGAACACCGAUGGCGAAGGCAGCCCCCUGGGUCAAGACUGACGCUCAUGCACGAAAGCGUGGGGAGCAAACAGG
rnacentral:rRNA from 1 species